GAAAUCUUCAAAGUAAAUCUUUUUGUUAACUCAAUUUGGUUUCACUUUGGUAUUGGAGGUUCUUGCAGCUUCACACGCUGCUCCUCUUUGUUCAUUAGCUGGAUCUCAGUGUUAUGCUUGGUUCCACUCGGCGUGAUAAAUUAUCUAUCGCUGAGGACACCCCGGUAAAAAAGGGUGGCCAAGGUAAAUGCAGAUGAACCGCUUCUAAUAGUCCAUUGACUUGGACAAUAAAAAAUUAUUAUUUUAUGAUCUGAUCUCAAAUCAGGUAGGACUACCCGCUGAACUUAA
rnacentral:misc_RNA from 1 species